UUUAAAAAAAAAAAAAAUUGACCUAUAAACUUAGGUCGAAUCGAAAUUCACCGAAUUAAGUUACCCACCCUAUUUACCUCUGCCUUCCCUAAUUUUUAUUCUACAUUUGUUAAAAAGUUAUUCUUCUUACUUUGAUGAUACUUCUCGUUAUCCAGAUUCCGCUUCUUCGACGUUCGUUCAAUGCCUAAACCGCCGCGUUUCAACCGCCACCUCCGACCUGAACCUUCUCGAUUCCAUGUCCUUCGGCACCGUUUCAUUCGAGGAACUCUUAGGUCACUGUUAUCAAAUCUUUAACAAGAACCAAACCAAUCUUCUCGAUCUCGAAGAUCAUCUUAAGCCUCACGGUUACCUCCCCUAAAUUGAAGAUGAGGUGGAAGAGGAAGAGGAAAUUUUGGAUUCAAAGGAGAGACCUUUCGCGGUCACUAGUUCAGCAAUGAAGUGCUUGGAAGAAGAUCCUCUGUUUCUUGGUUAAUCACUGAGUCUAAAGAAUUUCGGGCUCUCUGAUGUUUGUCUCGCCACUAUAGCAUCUCAAGCUAAUCAAAAGAUUGAUGACUCGGAUUUAUCUUAUGAAGGAAUACAUUAAGUGUUUGGAGUUUUAAAAGUUCUUUAUAUUGUACAAUGGAGAUAAACAAAGCAACAUUAAGAGUACAUACAAGCCGGCUACAGACACGGUUGAAGUAACCGAAGGUAGAAAUUACCGAGUUUUUCACACUUCAAAUCCCCUUGUCUAUCCAUCUCUCAGGUUUACGACUAGAAAUAGCAGGCACUAACCGGUAUUAUUAUGUUAAAUUAUAAUACGCCAUGAAAUGUUGGACAAGGGGAAAAUGACCUAAAUCUGGUUGAAGCUCCGAGGCAUGUAAUACAAGUAUCCAGGGAUGGUUAUGAGAGUCUUCCCUCUUAUAUGACAAGCCUAGCAUCAUGGGAGGAUCUUCUUGCUGCUGUUGAGAAGAUCAACUCAAGUUUGAGCAAGACACAGAAAACAAAAGGAUAUAACUAUUUCCACCAAGAUGAAAUUCAAUCCUUGGACUUGGGCCUAAGGAACGAGCUUACUUGCUGCUGUUAGUGCGCAUGAAUCAUCUUGUUGUAGAUACUAUUGGUGGGCUGAUUUCUUAUUUAGUCUUGUAAAUAAGAUCCGAACCGAUAAUAGUUUAAUGAACUUUACCAGUUCAUUUGCUUGAUGUGCAACAUA